ensembl:lncRNA
UAUCAUACUUCUUGAGAGCAAUGAUGACCUCAGAGAGGAUAACUCAAAUGCAGAAAGAAUCCCAAUUGCCGCUACUCUCCACUGUACCAACUAAGUCAAACAAUACUACCCUGGCUUUACCAUUAUUAUCCAGGUCAGCCUCAUGCUCUGCACCCAGGGCUGAUAUAGGUCCAUCAACUGCACCUCCAGAUGAUGUUGUUAACUUAGAUUAACUCUAAGAAGAUGAGUGCUCCUGUUUGCUGCAGAUUAUGAAGGAAAAACAACAAAGUGAGAUUAUCCAGCCUGUCAGCCAAACAGAUUCACUACU